AUGAACGCUGGCGGCGUGCCUAAUACAUGCAAGUCGAGCGAACGGACGAGAAGCUUGCUUCUCCGAUGUUAGCGGCGGACGGGUGAGUAACACGUGGAUAACCUACCUAUAAGACUGGGAUAACUUCGGGAAACCGUAGCUAAUACCGGAUAAUAUUUUGAACCGCAUGGUUCAAAAGUGAAAGACGGUCUUGCUGUCACUUAUAGAUGGAUCCGCGCUGCAUUAGCUAGUUGGUAAGGUAACGGCUUACCAAGGCAACGAUGCAUAGCCGACCUGAGAGGGUGAUCGGCCACACUGGAACUGAGACACGGUCCAGACUCCUACGGGAGGCAGCAGUAGGGAAUCUUCCGCAAUGGGCGAAAGCCUGACGGAGCAACGCCGCGUGAGUGAUGAAGGUCUUCGGAUCGUAAAACUCUGUUAUUAGGGAAGAACAUAUGUGUAAGUAACUGUGCACAUCUUGACGGUACCUAAUCAGAAAGCCACGGCUAACUACGUG
rnacentral:rRNA from 1 species